rnacentral:rRNA from 1 species
AUUGAACGCUGGCGGCAUGCCUUACACAUGCAAGUCGAACGGCAGCACGGGUGCUUGCACCUGUUGGCGAGUGGCGAACGGGUGAGUAAUACAUCGGAACAUGUCCUGUAGUGGGGGAUAGCCCGGCGAAAGCCGGAUUAAUACCGCAUACGAUCUACGGCUGAAAGCGGGGGACCUUCGUGCCUCGCGCUAUAGGGUUGGCCGAUGGCUGAUUAGCUAGUUGGUGGGGUAAAGGCCUACCAAGGCGACGAUCAGUAGCUGGUCUGAGAGGACGACCAGCCACACUGGGACUGAGACACGGCCCAGACUCCUACGGGAGGCAGCAGUGGGGAAUUUUGGACAAUGGGCGAAAGCCUGAUCCAGCAAUGCCGCGUGUGUGAAGAAGGCCUUCGGGUUGUAAAGCACUUUUGUCCGGAAAGAAAUCCUUGGCCCUAAUACGGUCGGGGGAUGACGGUACCGGAAGAAUAAGCACCGGCUAACUACGUG